GCCGGGGUGGUGUAGUUGGUUAUCACGUCUGUCUAACAGAUCCACUCUUCAGGAGUAGAUUACGCGUGCACAGAAGGUCCCGAGUUCAAGUCUCGGCUCCGGUA